UGUUAAAAAUUAAGUCUCUUAAAAGUUUCAAUUUCAGACACAUCAAAAUCUCACUUUGUGUGCCUUUUCCUUUGCAAAUGUCGUGCCUCUCAAAGGACAGUACCCUAAAUGGCUGCCUAGUUGGCCUAAUGACAGAACUGGGCCUGGUACCGGCUGAAGUUUCCAGACCAUUUUAGAGGCAGAUGUACAGCAGGCUGCAGUAGUCCCAGCCAGCAGAGUCUGGAUCACUGAAUCCAGUCUUUUUCUUCCAAGUGACAUCUGGAAUGGGCUUAGGCAUGAUGGAGCUGUGCCUGCCAGUUCAUCUCUCCUUGUAGAGGCUACACUAGUGACAGCUGGGAUGGAGAAGGCAAAAGGACACCAAGUACUGAAGACAAUAGCUUCAAAGAUAAAGAGGGACUGGGACAAUAACACAAGUUGUUCUACUACCACUCUUGUUCUCCCUAUGUCAUUGAGGCCAUUAUCCUCAGUAUGGGUGGGGAAAACAACAAGCAAGCACCUGAACAGAACAUAGUUAUUUCUAUACUCAUGAAAAGAAGAUGGGAAAUAAAAAAGAUUAAUUUGAACUCUUAACAUAGGAAGGUAAACAUUAUUUAAAAGGUAUCACAAAAACCUGCUGAGAUAAGUCUCAUGAUUGGAAUGUAGUACAGUGUGCCUGCGUCAUACACGGGUGUCCUAUACACAGCUUUCAGCUUACUCUGAAAGCCACACGACAGAGGAAAUGGCAUGUGCAUCCGUGGUGCGUGUGCAAUGCUGCACUGCCGUGCCUGAGCCCCAUUAGUUUCAAUAGGGCUUAAGCAUAUAUGGAAUUUGUCUUAUGCGGGGGGCGGUGAUGGUUUGGAACGGAUCCCCCAUGUAAGACAAGGGCACAUUGUAAUAGUAAUAGAUGAGUUCAAAAAUGAGAGAUACAGUACUAAUGUGAAAGUCCAGUUAUUCUGAUGUUUGCUGGAAGUCAAAUUCUGCCAAGAAAGUAAAGUUCAAGCCCCUUGCCUUGCUGACAAUGUUACUGUCCACAAGGUGGAGGAGGCAAGAGAGAUAUUGACUAUUUUGGAUUUAUCCUAAUAGGGAAGAGCUGGUCAAUGGAAUGGAAGAAGUGUGAUACUUGGGUGGGAGUGACCAUUUUUAAUUGAAACUUUUUACCUCCACCAUUUGUACCAUCUUCUCUACCUCUUUCUCACGCAGACAAUCUUACCUUCCCUCUUUCCACUUUGGCACAAUUCAAAAUGCAGUCAUAAAAUAUAAAAAGAUGCUGCCCAUUGCCAUUUUCCCUUACAAAAUGUAUGGACUGUUCUAGCAUUCAAAAUUGAGAGCUGUCACCUUAACCCAGUGGCAUUGUUGGGCAUGUGCAGAGGGUGCGGACCACACCAGAUCACACCCCAAAGAAGGGGUGACACCAAGUGAGACCUCCCUCC